rnacentral:rRNA from 1 species
UACGGGGGGGGCAAGCGUUGUUCGGAAUUACUGGGGGUAAAGGGCUCGUAGGCGGCCAACUAAGUCAGACGUGAAAUCCCUCGGCUUAACCGGGAAACUGCAUCUGAUACUGGAUGGCUUGAGUUUGGGAGAGGGAUGCGGAAUUCCAGGUGUAGCGGUGAAAUGCGUAGAUAUCUGGAGGAACACCGGUGGCGAAGGCGGCAUCCUGGACCAACACUGACGCUGAGGAGCGAAAGCCAGGGGAGCAAACGGG